rnacentral:lncRNA from 1 species
GAAAUACGUUUACUUUAGUAAAUGGUACCAGACAUUUUAAACUCUAAUUUACUCAUUUCUUGCAUUUUUACUCCAAGCAGAAUCUCAAGUGAAACACCGCAUGCAUCCUCUGAAUAACUGAUUCGCUUAGACUGAGCUCGCUUUAGGAUUUUCAUCUGUACUCUGCAUGCAGUUUCUGCAGCACUGCAGCUUCAAGACUGGCAAAUGAAGCAUAGUGGAAGAAGCAGAGAAAUGUACAGGAGAGUAUUUCUCAGCAUUUAGGUUACUGGGUGUCAUCCUAGAUCGGGAGUUGGUAUCUAUUAUGAGGAAAAAGGCCCAAAUAAAUUGGCAAAAGAAGCCACUUUCCUCCAAAACAUAGAAACGAUGUUUUUAGCAUUCAGCGUUGCUGAAUUAUACAAGAAUAAAUAGAAAUUUGUGUAGGGAAUUUAACUACAAUCCAACAUGUUAGAAGACAGAUUAAUAAGCAGCUCUCAAAGCAUGUACAUAUCACAGGCCCUCUGCAGCCAAAGACCUGCACCAUUAAAUACAAGACAUAAAAAUGUAUGGAUAACUCAAAGAGGCAAGAAUUUGAGGAAGAGAUCUCUCAUGUUACUUCCAAUCUCUCUCAUGUUACUCCCAUGUUUCUACUUUGUUAAUUAGAAAAACAUUACCUAUCCUGUAACCAAGGCAGCAUUUUUAAAUGCACUUGAACAGUAAUUAAAACCGGAGUGUGCAAACAGGUGAAGCACCAGCAUCAUAUUUCACUGUCGAUAUUCAGGUGGCAUAAUUUUACAUACAGAUAUGUAAGAGAUAUAUGUGUAAGAUAAAUACAUGUUUAGUUGUAAAUAUACAUAUACACAUCUUCUACCGGGCAGCUGGCGACAGGAUGAGAGGACAGAGGCUUAAGCUGCUCCAGGGGAGGUUUAGGUCGGACACCCGGAGGGAUUUCUCAGGGAAUGGAUAAUUAGGCAUUGGAAUGGGCUGUCCGGGGAGGCGGUGGAGUCUCGGUCCCUGGAGGCGUUUCAGGAAAGCCUGGACGUGGCACUGAGGGCCAUGGUUUAGUUGACGUGGUGGUGCUCGGUCAUAGGUUGCACUCCAUCACCUCACAGGUCUUUUCCGCCCGCAUUCAUUCCGUGAUUCUGUUUUUCAAGCACAUAACGAGGAAUGUAAAAAGUAGCCUUUUUGCACGACUGCUCGGUGUUCGGAGCGGGCAGCGCCGCCCCGGGCCGAGCGCCCCGGGCCGCCCUUCGCCCCCGCCCGGCCGCGGGGGGGGGGGGGGGGGGGGGGGGGGGGGGGGGGGGGGGGGGGGGGGGGGGGGGGGGGGGGGGGGGGGGGGGGGGGGGGGGGGGGGG